GAAUCCAAUAAAGGUCAGUAUCGUUCAUUACUGUGAUUAUAAUGUUGGAUUUUUUCACUAAUUUCUUUGUCCACCUUUAUUUUUGAUUCUGAUUUGAUUCUCUGAUGUUACAGAACAAACAUCUUCUGAUCUCCAGUCCUUGUUGUUCAUGUUCCUUCAUUACUCCACCAAGGAACGGUUAUGUGACGAUAGGCGUAUGUUUGUCCAACAGAUUAGGAUGAAACUUUCAGGGAAGGUCAGAAAUGACACAAGGACCACCUCAUUAGAUUUUGGCAGUGAUGCAGCUUAUAGACUGGAUCCAUGGAUUUGUUCAGGAUUUCCCACUGAAAGAUAGCGGCCGGCACGGCGUCACUGUAACCAUGACAAGAAGUGAACGCUGCAUCAGCUGCCUGAUGACGGUCACAUGAUUGUGAUCCUACUACUGACUUAUCCAUUGGAAAUGAUACAAGAAACAAUUGAUUAAAUUGUGAGGGUGUUUCUGAGUUGUCCUUCCAUCCUUAUGUGAAUUUUCAGACUUUUCAGCAGCUUCUUCCUCAUGUCAAGACACCGCUUCUUCGAUAAACACUUCCUGUGCCACGGGAAUGGUGGAAAAAUAAAAGCCCAUAACAUAAAAAUAUACACCUUCAAAAUAAAAGAAUGGAGGGAACGGUUGUUUUAACACUAGCGAAACAAAGCCUUGCAGAAAGUGAUGAACUGAUCAACAGACCUUUGUAAGAAUAAUUUACACAUAUGUAGGUCACAAAAUUCAAUAUCCGUACGUAACGUACACAUACAUAACACAUGUCUGUGCUUAGUUCAUUUUCUUUGUGGGUACAUCUAUAUUUAAUGGACACAUUCUAUAGUGCCGUCAUUUCUGAUCGUUAUCCAGUCCAUUCCACUUGUUCAUAUGGAGCACACCCGCAUCACUGAAAUCCAGUCCACGUUUUCCCUCCAACCUUGGUUGCUCUCGGUACCUGCAGGAUGUGUUUACCGGGAGGAGCACACAGAACCGACUAGAGCAGCUUUAGGAGAAGAACGUGAACAAGAAUGGAUAUACGAAAUGUUUUCAGGAGACAGGACCUGGUUCUCCUUUAAAAUAAGGAGGAUUCUCCUUAGACCGGUCACUCCUGAAGGACACACAGCUGGAUGCAGGUCCAGGUCCAGAGGACUCUGGUCUCUGAUGGAUUCUGGUAGAUAAAGAAGAAACCCACCAGUAAGAGAAUUUCAUUUUAAUUUCUUUCAGACAUGAACCUUGUAGCAGAGUUUCAGAGUGAUUUAAUGAUGGAAUGUAUUUGGAACAAUGACAGAACAUUUGACACAACAUUCAGUAGUUUGAUUUCACAGCUUACUUCUCUGCAGCAGGAGGUUGAUCAUCUUUAAAUUCAUUGUAGCGACCCAUCGACCGGUCGCUCUUUAAGGACACACAGCUGGAUCCAGGUCCAGGUGGAUUCCUGUCAAUAAUGAUGCAGCAGUGAUGUGAUGCUGAGCUCUGACAUGCAGCAGAGUCCUGGACAGUUAGAGAUGGUGGUCUCACCUCUGAGCUUUGCUCUGG